ensembl:lncRNA RPL23AP7 ribosomal protein L23a pseudogene 7
AGGGAGUGCGCAUGCGGCCGAGUGCGGGACUGGGGCUCCUGGCUGUGGGUGUGGUACCGAGGCUUCAGCGGGUGCCGCCCGCCUAGAGGGAGUGGAGCGGAAUCAGGAGAGGAACCCGGUCCUCUCCACACAGCCCAGCAGGUACGCCGCCCAUGUGCCUGUGGAGAAGAGAGGUUCCUGUGGGGCAGACAGAGAGCCUACGACUAGAUUUGCAUCUUUACGUCCUGCGCGGAGGCUGCUACACACAUGCAGAAGUCAUGCUGGUGGCCUGGACAGUGAAGGGAGAGAAGUGGAUUUGGGAGACAUUUAGGAGGAACAGUAAGAGGACCUUGUGCAUGAAUAAUUUGUUUCCACACUACAGAGUGGGUAAUAAGCAGAUUAGUAAAAACAAUUCUGCUUCACUUCAAUAACAGCCUCCUCCAACUCAUUUUUUCUCAACAAACUUAUUUUUCCAGCAGAAGAAUCCCAGACUUCUUAGAGAACCCAGUGACUUUUUGCACCUUAAAUCUGUGAAAUCCUCAUGUUUUCUUCUGCCGUAUCCAUAGUUCAAACAAAGAUGAGGCAAAGCUAGAUGCAUUCCUGAAGGAACCCAAGAAAUUCCUCUCUUUAUUUCUCUGGAAUGAAAUGAAUUCUCUAGACCACCAGUUCUAACCUUCAAAAACCAAACCUGUUUGUGAGAUCUCCUUCAAAUACUACUGUAGACCCCAGUGUUUAUUCAUUAAAUUUUUAAAAUAUUUGUUUUAUUUGGAA